CCACAGGACAGCUUCCCUCGAUGGAGGUAACUGGAUACUGACUCUAUGGGAGAGCAGCGCUGGAAAGAGCAUGCUCAGGUAGUCUCCACACCCAGAGAGAAGUACGAUGUGGGGCUCAAACUCACAACGCUGAGAUCAAGUCCUGAGCUGAGAUCAAGUGUGGAGCCACCUAGGAAGUCCCAUUGUUCUAAUAACUUCUAAUCAC
rnacentral:lncRNA from 1 species